rnacentral:lncRNA from 1 species
CAUUAUUUCAGUAUCAUAACUCAAGGUAUAAACAGUUCAAUAAAUAACAUAAUUCAGUAUUCAGUAUCACAAUUUAGACAAUAAGCAGUUCAAUAAAUAUUAAUUCAGUAUUUCAGUAUUAUAAACGUUAACAUGACUCUCUAUUUAUUCUUAUCGAUUUAUAUCCUAUUAAUAAUAGUUUCAUUGCGAGAUGCCAUUUCUACUAGUAUCAACGAGAGCAGUAAAGAUCUCCUCUACAAUGUGAAUACGUUACAAUUCAAUUCACAGUUUAUAGUUCGUAG